UUUCGCAAUGCCCGAAAGGGUGACGAAGCGACGCCGCGUGUGGGAAGAAGGCCUUCGGGUUGUAAACCACUGUCGGGAGUUAAGAAAGGUGUACGGGUAAAUAGUCCGUGCAUUUGACAAAAGCUCCGGAGGAAGCCACGGCUAACUCUGUGCCAGCAGCCGCGGUAAUACAGAGGUGGCAAGCGUUGUUCGGAAUUAUUGGGCGUAAAGAGCACGUAGGCGGCCCUGCAAGUCAGCUGUGAAAGCCUCCUGCUUAACGGGAGAAGUGCAGUUGAAACUACGGGGCUAGAGUGCGGAAGGGGAGAGUGGAACUUCUGGUGGAGCGGUGAAAUGCGUAGAUAUCAGAAGGAACACCGGCGGCGAAAGCGGCUCUCUGGUCCGUAACUGACGCUGAGUGUGCGAAAGCUAGGGGAGCAAACGGGAUUAGAUACCCCGGUAGUCCUAGCCGUAAACGAUGGGCACUAAGUAGAGGGGUUUU
rnacentral:rRNA from 1 species